GGGGUGGGGUUGUGCGGGCUCUGCUCCGGCUGUCAUGGUGACUGAGCUCGGCGGGCCGCGGGCACGGCGGGACUGCGUGCCUCCCCGUGUCUCUACCCGGCGCCACACCCCUCGGGGUGCCUUGCUGGCUCCUGGGUUUUCUCCUCGUGUGCGUGCUUCCCACCGUUUGCUGCCUUCACUUCUGCCCGAGUGCCUGCUAUUACAGCAGUCAUAAAGGAAGAAGCUGGAGAAGAGCUGGAGGACUGACUAUUACUCUCACCUAACCUAAACCAUUUUCAGUAGUAACAGAGAAAACACAAACAGAGGGAUGGACAUUACCUCCUCAGUCUGAGUAUGGAGCGGAGAAGUCUGCAACUGUAUCGUAUUUUUGGGAACGCACAUUAAAGUGAGACAGUGCUAAUGAAGCAGGCCACAGCCUUGUCCUGUCCAGUUGUCCCUGAGCUACAAACCAAAGCAGAAGUUAGCCAGCUAAAGGUCUAAGGACACAAGUAGCUUGCAGGAUUGCGACAACUUUUAUGGAAGGAUCAGCUUUGACUCUGAUUAUUACCAGGAUUUUUUCAGAAUCAUAUUGCUGAAAAGGAAACUUUCAACCAGAACUCCAAUUUGCAAAGUAAUGUAUUCAAAGAAUACAUUGAGUCAAAGUCACUAAUGGUGAAAGUGCGUGCACUGAACUGAUGUAAGUGUGGCUGUUAGUGGAACUGGACAGUUAGACCACUAAAAGUGUAUCUGGCAAGAAUAAAAUAGGAAAAACUUGGUCAGUAUCAAAAGACAGACAAUACUCAUAGUUUUGACUUCAUUUAUUAAUGCUGCCAAUAAAACCUAUGUGUUUGGUUAAUAAGGCUUUGCAUUCAGAUUUCAGAGAAACUCUACGGCUCACAACUUAAAAUAAAAAAACACUAGAAGUCUGAAUAUUUUUCCAGUCAGGUCUUAAAGACUCCACAUAUACUAUUUAAAUAUUAACUAUUGAUUAUUAUUUUAUCCUCACCACCACCAUCCCAGUCUUCAAGAUUUUCCAGUUUUAUUUUUCGCUUGCUCCUGUCUUUGAGCAAUUCAAGUGUACAUAAUGUCUCAAAGUUUAGACAACAGUUAUAAGACAAUGGCAAUGUGAGUACUAUUCAUCAAAUAUGAUAUUGCAGUUGACAACAAAUAAAACCAGCCGUUAACAGAAUCUUGUAUGUGAAGGCAAGAGUAAAUUAGAAAUUUAGUAAUUAUAAUGCAGUCCAGAAUAUAUUAGCAAUCAGUUGAUAAAUGUGUCUUUUCAAUACUUUACCCUCAGUAAUAAAAUAUAUUUAUAAUCUGUCAUUAUUAGUAAGAAUGUAAAUAUUGUACUAGCAUUGUACUAGGUUAAAAAAAAAAACUGUAUGGUUACUGAAAACUUGCUUUUUUCCCUCCUUAUCUAGUAGCUGCACUGUCUCAUUUGAGAUCUGGAUAUUCUACUAAAGUGCAAUUCCAAGAUUUCAUAAUUAUUAUUAACAUCAAAUAGUAUUAAUCAGCAUAGACUAUUAACUUUUGAACACAAGGCACAAUAAAUCCAGGUUCACAUAUUAACUAUUCAUAAAUACAGUGUUCAUCACCAUAAAUCAUUUUACUUAGAGAUAUAUUGCAGAGCUACAGAACAGAAACACCAGUUAUGCUUUUUCUUUCAAACAUAUUCUUUUCUUCAAGUUGAUUAUAUAGCCCAGGCUUUUUAUUUUUUUU